ACGGCCGUAUAACAUUGAAACUAUCGGUUCCCCUACGAUCCCCGAAGUUAAGCAACAUCAAACCUGGUCAGUACUUAGAUAGGUGACCGCUUGGAUGUGCAGGUGGUGUAA